UACGUAGGGUGCGAGCGUUGUCCGGAAUUAUUGGGCGUAAAGAGCUUGUAGGCGGUUUGUCGCGUCUGCUGUGAAAAUCCGGGGCUCAACCCCGGACUUGCAGUGGGUACGGGCAGACUGGAGUGUGGUAGGGGAGACUGGAAUUCCCGGUGUAGCGGUGAAAUGCGCAGAUAUCGGGAAGAACACCCGUGGCGAAGGCGGUUCUCUGGGACGGUACUGACGCUGAGACGCGAAAGCGUGGGGAGCGAACAGG
rnacentral:rRNA from 1 species